rnacentral:siRNA from 1 species
AGUGUCUACUUUGCCAAGAAACCCA